UCCGAGUUGACCCCGGCAGUCUCCUAUGAGUCCCCACCAUCACGUGCUGGCAACAUAGAACGAGGGUUGCGCUCGUUGCGGGACUUAACCCAACAUCUCACGACACGAGCUGACGACAGCCAUGCACCACCUGUAUAGAGCCCUUACGGACCUCCUGUCUCCAGGAGAUUUCUCCAUAUGUCAAGCCCAGGUAAGGUUCUUCGCGUUGCAUCGAAUUAAGCCACACGCUCCGCCGCUUGUGCGGGCCCCCGACAAUUCCUUUGAGUUUUAGCCUUGCGGCCGUACUCCCCAGGCGGGGCACUUAAUGCGUUAGCUACGGCACGGAACCCGUCGAUAGAGUCCCACACCUAGUGCCCAACGUUUACGGCGUGGACUAC
rnacentral:misc_RNA from 1 species